rnacentral:rRNA from 1 species
GACGAACGCUGGCGGCGUGCUUAACACAUGCAAGUCGAACGGAAAGGCCCUGCUUUUGUGGGGUGCUCGAGUGGCGAACGGGUGAGUAACACGUGAGUAACCUGCCCUUGACUUUGGGAUAACUUCAGGAAACUGGGGCUAAUACCGGAUAGGAGCUCCUGCUGCAUGGUGGGGGUUGGAAAGUUUCGGCGGUUGGGGAUGGACUCGCGGCUUAUCAGCUUGUUGGUGGGGUAGUGGCUUACCAAGGCUUUGACGGGUAGCCGGCCUGAGAGGGUGACCGGCCACAUUGGGACUGAGAUACGGCCCAGACUCCUCCGGGAGGCAGCAGUGGGGAAUAUUGCACAAUGGGCGGAAGCCUGAUGCAGCAACGCCGCGUGCGGGAUGACGGCCUUCGGGUUGUAAACCGCUUUCGCCUGUAACGAAGCGUGAGUGACGGUAAUGGGUAAAGAAGCACCGGCUAACUACGUG